GAUGAAGAACGUAGCGAAAUGCGAUAAGUAGUGUGAAUUGCAGAAUUCAGUGAAUCAUCGAAUCUUUGAACGCACAUUGCGCCCUUUGGUAUUCCAAAGGGCAUGCCUGUUCGAGCGUCAUUUGUACCCUCAAGCUUUGCUUGGUGUUGGGCGUCUUGUCUCUAGCUUUGCUGGAGACUCGCCUUAAAGUAAUUGGCAGCCGGCCUACUGGUUUCGGAGCGCAGCACAAGUCGCACUCUCUAUCAGCAAAGGUCUAGCAUCCAUUAAGCCUUUUUUUCAACUUUUGCCCUCGGAUCAGGUAGGGAUACCCGCUGAACUUAAGCAUAUCAAUAAGCGGAGGA
rnacentral:misc_RNA from 1 species